GUGGACGAGGAUCGAUGGUGUUCUGAACUUGGAGUACCCGCACCGCCCGGUGAAUAACCGCACUGAAGCUUCAUUGUCUUUAUCGGUAGCCAUCCGGUGAGAGUACCGGUGGUAGGGGGAGACACGGAGGCCGAGGAUGUAGCCGACCUUGGUGUAAAUCGGGGAAGGAGGGUUCUGGUGCUUCGCGGUGGUUGCUCCGCUGCGGGUUGGCUUUUUACCGCAGGUGACUGUCUUCACGCAGCCGCGGAUUAGGCCCACGAUCUCCGUCGCCGGCCCAACGAUGAUGAUGAUGAUGAACAGGGGAGAAAGGGAAGAGAAGAGAAGCGAGAAGAGGGUAUGAGGGGCGUUAUCGAUAGAGAGAAUCACGUGUGGAGCCGCAGAGACGUGGAGGAGGAAAGCGAGCAGGAAAGCAUGAGGUAGCUCUUCUCUCUUUUCUAAUAGAUUCGUUAUCUCACGCACUUCUCUGUUUCUUUGUUUUCAUUUGUGGUUUCGCUUUUCAUAUGCUUGUGAAUGCUAUAUGAUUGCCCCAUCCGUAGCAUCCCCUUAACCCUUACAUAUAUAUAUAUAUAUGUAUAUAUUAUAAAGAAGGAGACCCUGGGGGCUCACCUUUCGCUCUCGCUGGAGAAUCCUGGGCCUCUGGCCUACUUCAAUGGCUCAAGGGGAUAUUAUUAAUAUGGUUCCAAUAAUAUCACGGAAAGAGCAAGGGGUUGGGAGAGAAAGAGUACCGUAGUUUAGCAGUCCAUCCAUCCAUCUAUUGUGGUGGGUCCUGAUUGAUAGAAAUAGUUGGCGGCUGUGAGUGAGUGCAUAUAGUUUUUCCUUUCUAUAUAUCUCCAUCUCUAGCUUAUAUAUUAAAAAGAAUUGUUAAAUAAAAAUUAAAAUCAAUCUGAUUAUUUUAAAAUAUUAGCCAUGACCCAAAAUAAUAAUAAUAAUAAUAAUAAUAAAGAAGAUGAUAAACCAGAACAUUCUUAUGGCCCUCUUCUUCACCUGGUACUAAAGAAAGGUGACACGUGGACUUAUAUAUGGAUCUCUCACCAAAGGAAAAAGUUCUACUAGAGAUGAUGAGACGUUUAGAUCAUUUCAUAUGUUCCUCAGGUCACGGUUUAAAUGGGCUAUGGUUGGUUGGAUGUCUAGUAUUUAUUGUCAUGAUGAUAGGAUAAGGAUUGGUUGUUUAGUUAUGGCUCAUGAUUGUUAAGUGUGUGUUGGUGGAACAAUGGAACGGUGAAGAUUUGGGGGCGGAUUCCGUUGCGCUCGAACCGUUAAAACAAAGCGUUUCUGAACGGCGGGGCGGCUGGCAAUGAUUGGGAUUCCCUCACGCUUUCCAGGUUUCCUGCAAGCGUGACGCGUGUCCCAAUUCAUCCUCCUCUCUUUCCUUUCAGGAUAAGUCCUUCAUUUCUUUCCCUUUUUUUUUUUAUUUCCCAAAAA